rnacentral:rRNA from 1 species
UACGUAGGGUGCGAGCGUUAAUCGGAAUUACUGGGCGUAAAGCGUGCGCAGGCGGUGAGUUGUGUCCGAUGUGAAAGCCCCGGGCUUAACCUGGGAAUGGCAUUGGAAACUGGCUCGCUGGAGUGUGGCAGAGGGGAGUGGAAUUCCGCGUGUAGCAGUGAAAUGCGUAGAGAUGCGGAGGAACACCGAUGGCGAAGGCAGCCCCCUGGGCUAACACUGACGCUCAGGCACGAAAGCGUGGGGAGCAAACAGG